rnacentral:rRNA from 1 species
AGUGAACGCUGGCGGCAGGCCUAAUACAUGCAAGUCGAACGGCAGCACAGUGGAGCUUGCUCCAUGGGUGGUGAGUGGCGGACGGGUGAGGAAUACAUGGGAAUCUGCCCAGUCGUGGGGGAUAACGUAGGGAAACUUACGCUAAUACCGCAUGCGCCCUUCGGGGGAAAGCCGGGGACCUUCGGGCCUGGCGCGAUUGGAUGAGCCCAUGUUCGAUUAGCUAGUUGGCGGGGUAAAGGCCCACCAAGGCGACGAUCGAUAGCUGGUCUGAGAGGAUGAUCAGCCACACUGGGACUGAGACACGGCCCAGACUCCUACGGGAGGCAGCAGUAGGGAAUAUUGGACAAUGGGCGCAAGCCUGAUCCAGCCAUGCCGCGUGAGUGAAGAAGGCCCUCGGGUUGUAAAGCUCUUUUGUCCGGGAAGAAAAGCAUCGGGCUAAUACCUCGGUGUUCUGACGGUACCGGAAGAAUAAGCACCGGCUAACUUCGUG